AACGAACGCUGGCGGCAGGCCUAACACAUGCAAGUCGAACGCCCCGCAAGGGGAGUGGCAGACGGGUGAGUAACGCGUGGGAACGUGCCCUUCGGUUCGGAAUAACCCAGGGAAACUUGGGCUAAUACCGGAUACGUCCGUAAGGAGAAAGAUUUAUCGCCGAAGGAUCGGCCCGCGUCGGAUUAGCUAGUUGGUGGGGUAAUGGCCCACCAAGGCGACGAUCCGUAGCUGGUCUGAGAGGAUGAUCAGCCACACUGGGACUGAGACACGGCCCAGACUCCUACGGGAGGCAGCAGUGGGGAAUAUUGGACAAUGGGCGAAAGCCUGAUCCAGCCAUGCCGCGUGAGUGAAGAAGGCCUUAGGGUUGUAAAGCUCUUUCAGCGGGGAAGAUAAUGACGGUGCCCGCAGAAGAAGCCCCGGCUAACUUCGUGCCAGCAGCCGCGGUAAUACGAAGGGGGCUAGCGUUGUUCGGAUUUACUGGGCGUAAAGCGCGCGUAGGCGGGUCGCUAAGUCAGGGGUGAAAUCCC
rnacentral:rRNA from 1 species